CCUACGGGAGGCAGCAGUCGGGAAUUUUGGGCAAUGGGGGAAACCCUGACCCAGCAACGCCGCGUGAAGGAUGAAGUAUUUCGGUAUGUAAACUUCGAAAGAAUAGGAAGAAUUAAUGACGGUACUAUUUAUAAGGUCCGGCUAACUACGUGCCAGCAGCCGCGGUAGUACGUAGGGACCAAGCGUUGUUCGGAUUUACUGGGCGUAAAGGGCGCGUAGGCGGCGCGGUAAGUCACUUGUGAAAUCUCUGAGCUUAACUCAGAACGGCCAAGUGAUACUGCAGUGCUAGAGUGUGGAAGGGGCAAUCGGAAUUCUUGGUGUAGCGGUGAAAUGCGUAGACAUCAAGAGGAACACCUGAGGUGAAGACGGGUUGCUGGGCCAACACUGACGCUGAGGCGCGAAAGCCAGGGGAGCAAACGGGAUUAGAUACCCCGGUAGUCCUGGCCCUAAACGAUGAAUACUUGGUGUCUGGAGUUUUAAUGCUCCGGGUGCCGUCGCUAACGUUUUUAGUAUUCCGCCUGGGGAGUACGCUCGCAAGAUUGAAACUCAAAGGAAUUGACGG
rnacentral:rRNA from 1 species